rnacentral:lncRNA from 1 species
UAAGCACUGCAUGGAUGAACAUGAAACAACAUUUGUAUUCAUCUGAUUAGACAAAUACAUUUUGUGAACAUUGAGAUUGAUAGCUAUAUAGUUUACAAUUGAGACAAGUAGUGUUCAAACUUUAUAUAGACCAUAAGGGACAACAUUGUUCAUAUAGAAAUUUGAGAUGAUGAAGGUUGUGAAACUAAUUAGUGACAACAUUGUUUAGAUAGAAAUUUGAGAUGUUCAAGGAAACUGAGAAGAAAGUAGAGAAUUCCAAAGAAAGCUAAAAAGAAAGUAAAGAGUUUCUGAGGAAGCUUUCAAACGUGGAUAAUUUUUGAGGAAGCGUUGACUUGAAGUAAAGGGUUUUUUGCUGACACUUUGGCAGACAUUAUUGAGCAAGUUUGUGAUGUUUAUCAUUAUUCAUGUUAGUUUGAAUCAUAGUUUUCCUUAUAUUUAAAUUGUUGUUCUUGCAAUGUAACCUUUAUCUUUGAUAUUGAGCUUGAACUUGAUCACAAUCCACAAUCAAUAGGGUAAGGUGUUCAUUAAAAAUCUGUAUUUUACCUUUACAAAUUAAAUUAUCAGUACUUGAGUCUUGAGUUCAAAGUUGAAAUUGUGUUUGUGAAAAAUAGAAAGUUGACUUGUUGCAAAGUCCAGAUCCUUUGCAUGCAUGACUCAUUGCGAUCUUGAAUAAUUCCAAAAUUUUAAAAAAAGAUUG